CGUCCCUCCCGUCCGCGCCAUACAGUACCUCCGUACGGGCGAGCAGUGGGGAAUCUUGCACAAUGGACGAAAGUCUGAUGCAGCAACGCCGCGUGGGGGAUGAAGCUUCUCGGAGUGUAAACCCUUUCGACCCGGAAGAAUGCCCGCAAGGGUUUGACGGUACGGGUAUAAGAAGCCCCGGCUAACUACGUGCCAGCAGCCGCGGUAAUUC
rnacentral:rRNA from 1 species